rnacentral:lncRNA from 12 species
AGGUUCUCUCAUGGGGAGGAUAAAUCUUCAUACUGCUUAUUCCAUGUCCUGGGAAUUCUUUCUUACUUCUCCUCAUUGUGAACCUCAUUGCAUAUCUGUGGAACUGUGCCUCAUUUAAGGCCUGGGCCCAAGGACCCUCUGACUUUCUAUGUGAGAGGCCCUCACAGAUGGUCGACACCUGAUAAAUGUAUUUACCGAAGCCCUGCAACAUUGGUUUGAGCUCUGGCCUGAAUUUCUGGAUGAGAGGUGCCCCAUCAACCGGAAAAGGUGACAAGAGGAUAUUUUUCCUUAAUCCUCUCUUUACUUACCCUUUGUUCUAUAGCAUGGACUUCUUGGGACUCAAGAGAACAACCACACAGAAUCCUUUUUUGCUAAAUGCCAGAAAUCUGUGAUGCUAAGAGCCCAGUUGAAUUUUCUAGUUUAAAUGAUUUCACAGGUAUCACACAGUAAAAACUUAAAAAAAUUUCUCUUCUUCAUUAGGAUCUCUUGUUAAAAAUAUAAAGGAAAUUAAUUCUACAAUUUCCUAUUCUCAAUGAUUUUGGUUCACUGAAUAACAUUUUAUCCCAUGACAAUGUAGUGAAGGGACAUGGUCUUGAGAUCGGCUCGAUCUAAUCCAGGACUACCUGUACUAGAUGUAAAGCUAUAGAUAAGUAUGUUAAAGAUUCUUUUGAAACUGAUUUUCCUUAAGAGUAGAAUGGCAUAAUAAUAAUGAUCUCGUAAGUAUACUGAAAGAGUUAAACGAGAGAAAAACACAUAAAAGGCUUAAGCACUUUAGGGACUCCACACUAAUUCCUUGCAUUUAGUUUGUCCUGGAUAUACAGGUGGAUUUGAUUCAGAUUGGAAAACAAGCCAGGUACAACCAAGUGAGGAACAAAGAUGCAUGUGCUUCAAUGUCUUCUAAUAUUAGUGGAUCCACAAAGAAAAAUAUUAUUUUUGAAACGUGUUACUAUACAUUUUCCAACAGGGUUGUAAAAGCUAUGGCUGAGCAGCUAUUUCCAGAAUACUUUUUUUGAGUGAAAUGUGACAGCUCUUUGUCAGUUCACUGCAAUCCAUGGAAACAUUUAAAGCUGAAAAUCAGUAACAGUAACCACAGUAUAGGAAUAAGAGAGUGGGAAGGGAAUUUCAUGGAUUGAAUAGAAUUAUUUAAAAUAUUUUCCCAGAGAAAAGAGAGAAUAGAUCCUUAAAAUUGCAUGUUUUAAUCUAAUAAUUUUUUUAAAAAUCCAAAUGGUUUUUACACAAUACAAUGGGAGCAAAAGUGUGUUACUACCCUGUGGGCAAAUUCACUUUUAUUUUUAAGUCCUACAACUUUUAUAGUGAGUAGCUAGUAUUAUCUUGAAACUUUGGGGUGAUUGAAGAAUUCCAUCUUCUUAGUAUAGCUACAGGAUUAUUGAAUAAUUGCAGACCAUUUUGAUGGUCCUGAGUUGACACAGGAACAUGAAGAUUUUUUUUUUCUUGUGAACUUUUGUGAGAUCGAAGAAAUUUAGUAGAGGUUUUUUUUUUGUUGUUUGUUUGUUUUAGCUUUGAUUUAUUUUAAAGGAAUAUUCAUUGGCCCUUGGUUUUUACAUGAUUUAUCUCCCACUGGUGGUAGGAAGUUUUUUUUAAGGUCAUGGAGUAACCCAAUUUGAAGCCACUUUUCCAGACUUGUGAAGUUUUGUGUUCUGAGACCUGGAUCCUAUGGUCACCCUUGCAAAAGAAAUAAUUAAUUGAGAAUAAUAAAUGUAAAGGGUAUUAACUUUGAAAAUGCUAA